CGUGGGGACUGCCCUUUAGCACCCCCUACGGACCAUACGGGUGGUUCCCAGGGCCAGUUAACUGGGCAUCUCCACACGCCACCUGUAAUCAGGUCUGGCAAGCGGGGAGCGCUGCUUUGCCCACCCAGGGGCCAACGGCGCAGUUCAGCUCUGCUUGGCAUACUGGGGAUGGGCCCGUACCCUUGGGGGACCACCUCCUUCCAGCAGUUAAGGAACGGAUUUGGAAAGGAGAGUGCAUUGACGUGUUCCAAUUGCUCUUCAAGGAGCCGGAGCCACUGGAGAAGGAGGGGUCCCAGGAGCCACUGGAGAAGGAGGGGUCCCAGGGGAAGGACAAGGAGAGGACAAAGCGGAAGCCCAUUGAGCAUAAUUGGGCAAAUUGGGUUUCGGGGUACACAAUCUACAUGGGUGUUCUGAUGCAGAAAUAUCCAGAGCGGGGCCCCGCUCUCGUUAAGUAUUUUGAUAUUAUACACAGAGCCUUCAUGGACUUUGCUGGUAAUGCCUGGGAGCGCUACGACCAAGCGUUCCGCGAGCGCGCCUCCAGCAAUGUGGGUAUAUCCUGGGAAAGGCAGCACCCCGAGUUAUGGCUUCAGAUUAUGACACCCGCGAGGCCCUUGGUUGGCGAGCGCGCUGACAGCGGGCACCUCAUUUCCAAAACACCGGCAGCGUCAGCGGCUUCGGCCUCAGGCGCACAGGGGGUUCAGGGUCCCCUGGUGUGCUGGGAAUUUAACAAGAACGGGAAGUGUGCCCGCUCCCCGUGCAAGUACCGGCAUGACUGUGGCUUCUGCGGUGGGCGGCACGCCAGUAUCUACUGCCAGCGGGCCAAAGCCCUUAGGGGAAAAGGGGGAUACCAAGGCCCGGGAGGGGCAAAGGGCCCAGCAGCCACGGCUGGAAAAGGGCCCCAGCCCAAUUAAAAUCCCGGUGCUCCGGAGGCUGCUGCGUGACUACCCCAACAGGGAGCGCGCACGCUAUAUUGAGGACGGUUUUGUGAAGGGGUUUAGGAUUCCGUGCCAAUCCAGGCGGGUCCAUAGUUUUGCACGCAACCUAAAAUCGGUUAGGGGGAUGGAACACAUAGUAGCGAAAAAGAUAGCCAAGGAGGUGUCUCUGGGGAGGGUGCUGGGCCCCUUUGACAGGCUGCCACUGCCAACAUUGCGGGUAUCCCCUUUGGGCGUGGUCCCUAAGAAGGCGCCGGGAGAGUAUAGGCUUAUCCACCACCUGUCCUACCCAAGGGGCGACUCGGUUAACGAUGGGAUACCGGCGGACCUUUGCUCAGUACGGUAUACAUCGUUUGAUGAGGCUGUGGCCAUGAUCAGGGGCUGCGGGCCUCGGGCACUGAUGGCGAAGUGCGACAUUGAAUCCGCCUUCCGCCUCCUGCCCGUGCACCCUGAUGACUUUGACCUUUUGGGCUUCGCAUUUAAAGGGGGAUUUUACAUCGACAGAGCCCUCCCCAUGGGAUGCUCGGUCUCCUGUGCGGCCUUUGAGGCUUUCAGCUCUAUGCUGGAAUGGGCACUGCGCCGGAGGGCGGGGCUACGCUCCUCCGCUCACUUUUUAGAUGACUUUAUUUUCGGAGGAAGGGAGGGCUCUGGCCAAUGCCUACACUUACUGCGCUCAUUCAGGGCACUCUGCGGGGAUCUGGGGGUGCCACUGGCUAAGGACAAGACAGAGGGCCCGACUACGAAGCUUACAUUUCUGGGGAUAGAGCUGGACACGGUGGGACAGCUCUCACGCCUCCCCGGGGACAAGCUCGGCAUCAUGAGGGAAUUGCUCAGGGAAUGCAGAGAGGCUAGGAAGGUAACGCUACGCAAAUUGCAAUCGCUGGUUGGCCACCUGAACUUCGCUUGCAGGGUGGUGGCUCCAGGCCGCCCCUUUCUAAGGCGCCUGUGUGACGCCAUGGUGGGGUGUAAUCGACCCCAUUUCCUCAUUAGGGUGUCUACCGCCAUGAGGGAGGAUAUGGGGCUCUGGCUCAGGUUCCUGUAGUCCUUUAAUGGGGUGUCAUUCUGGCGUUCUUCCCAGCUGCUCGAGGCCGACUUCCAGGUUCAGUCAGACGCCGCGGGCGGCCUUGGGUUCGGCCUGUACCUGAGAGGGCGCUGGUGCGCGGAACGAUGGCCGGGCAGCUGGUCGGAACGGGGAAUCACAAGGGAUCUCACCUUCCUCGAACUCUUCCCCAUUGUGGUGGCGGUGCACAUUUGGGCCGAGUCCUUCAAGGACUCGGUUGUGCGUUUCUGGUGCGAUAAUUUGGCCGUGGUUCAGAUUAUUAAUAGCCAGACUUCCAAAUCACAGAGGGUGAUGGGGCUGGUGCGGGCCCUGGUUCUAACAUGCCUUCGCCAUAACACGCUCUUCACCGCCCAGCAUGUUCCAGGGGUGCAGAACGAGGUGGCAGAUGCCCUGUCUCGCUUCCAGAUGCAGCGCUUCCGGAAGCUGGCACCUGGAGCCGCCAAGGAGCCCGAGCAGGGCCUCAGUCGGCUGGGCCGAGGGCGGCCGGGCAGCGCGCAAGAGUCCUCAUACUGGGCCAUUCCUUCAUUUUCUGGGCACGCAAGUGGGCGCAGAGCGCCGACCCUGGAACCCAGCUUGGUUUGGGGCGUUGGGCCACUGUGGAGUGGCUUGGCUGGCGGGGCAUGCGGAGGGCCCAGUUCCUGCCGAUGCUGCACGAGUUCCUGGAAGGGAAUCCUGUCCCGGAUGUCCUGCUGCUGCAUUUUGGAGGCAACGACCUGGUGGACCAGUCUGGCAUUUCGCUCUCAAGACAGAUUGCCCAGGACCUGGUGGUCGCCCUCUCCUGGUGCCCGGGGCUGGUGGUCAUCUGGUCUGACAUCACUCAGCGGCGAGUCUGGAGGGGGGCGGUGAAGCAGAACAAGGUAGAUAGGGCUAGGCGCGGGGUGAACGCGGCCAUGGCACGCUUCAUCGCCUCAAAGGGGGGUGGGUGCAUCCCACACAACGACAUCGCGUUCUCGCUCCCCCAGUUAUUCAGGGGUGAUGGGGUGCACUUGUCCCCCCUCGGUAUGAGGUAUUUCUUAGACGAUCUGCGGCUGGGGUUGGCAACAGUGCUGUUAGGCCUGUGGGGUGGCGGGGCGUCAAGCUAGGCUGACGCCCGCUGUGGCGGGCACAGUGCGGAGGUGAGCGGCUGAUGCGGUGCGGCACCUUAGGUAAGCUUUAGCUGUAAGGUGGAGGGGCAGAUCCCUUGAGGCUUUACAGAUCAGGGAUGCUGCCUUGCUCCCACCUCCCUGCAACCGACACCCUUCCGUAUGGCUUUACAGCGUCGGACAGGUGAUGUAAAUUGCAGGGUCCUGACCUUAGGUCGGCAACGAAGGGCGCCCCCUUCUGGAAGGUGGGCCGCCUGGAGCCGAGGUGUCUGUGCCAUGAGAUUCUAGGGCGGGGGUGGCCACGUGGUGCCCCCCCCAUCCGAGCCCGCACUGUUGCUGCUCUGAAUGCCAACCCCAGCUGCCGUGCCUGUGCAGGCACUGUCUUAAAACCUUGUACCCCUAAUAAAGUGACCAGUUCCUCCAUAAUA